GUAUGUUUUGGUAAUUGGAUUUUCCGUUCUAAAGCAGGUAUUGAAAAACAAAAAACGAAUGGUUAUUUGAUUUUCGUUUUCAAAGGCAAAAAUUAAAAUUGAAAUACAAGGCGUUUUUCCUUUUCACGAUCAAAAAUGGAUAUACGAAUUUUAAAAAAUGCUUUGAUUUUCAUUUUUUAUUUACAAAAACAAAAAAUAAAAUAAGUCAGAGACAGAAACGAAAUAAGAACCGUUUUUCAUUUUCUGAGACCGGAAGUGGUCAUCAGCAAGGGUGGUCAGAUUGAAUCAGAGCCGAGGAGUCUCUGUCCCGCCCACAUUUACCGGCUUCUGCUGUUUAUGGACGCUGCUACCGCUGCUGCUAACAACGUUAGCUUCCAAAAGUGGAGAUAAACUCUACAGCCUUGGUCUGGAUCAUUGGGAACAUCUGAUCUGAUGGACUGAGAGCUACAGAGAACAUGAACAUCCAGCUGUGGUUCUCUGAACAGUCUUCUCUCCAUCGCUGUGAGGAAGAGCAGCACUGAUGCCCUCCUCAUGCUUCCAUUAAGAACAAUGAUGCUGCAGAUUCAGCUCCUCUCUUCAUAAUACUUGUCUUGUGACUGUUCAAUUUUUACACUUCACUGUCAGCAACACAUUAUUUAUUUCAUCCAUUUAUUACGUGUUUACACAUCUUUACAGUUCACAAUUGUUAAAUAAUGCAGUUUUUAAAUGUGCAAUGAAGGAAAUAAUGAAGCUCUUGAGCUGAAUGUGUUGAUGUUUUAAUGCUGCAUAUCUGCUAUAAAUAACAUUGUACAGGGUUUCUGCUGAUAUCAACCAGUCAAAUUUAAUGCUUUUUAAUGCCAUUUUUAUGCUAUACUGUAAAAAUUUAAUGCCACGACCAUGAACUCAAAAUACACGGGUUUGUUUUUUUUUUGUAAAAGAUGGUUUUUAUAUGAAAACCCUACAUUUGACUAUUUCUGAAUCUGGGAACCACCCCUGAACACCAACGGGCUGCAGUCAUUCUCUGAAAUCCACGUUUUUGAGCCAUUUUUGCUGGAAUUUGUGUUUCCCCAUUUCCCAGCCUGGUCCAGCCUGCCGGCCACUUUAAAAACAUGCAGUUUUUAGAAAUUGUACCCAACCGGCUGGAACAGUUAUCUCAGUGCUUCGGCAUGUUUACGCAGAUGCACAUACCUGACAAAUCGCAGUCUAUAAAUAUAUUAUUGUCAAUUAUUUUCUUGAAAACUGCAGAAAGAAAUUUUAAUGCCACCGAGAAUCAAAUUUAAUGAUUUUUAAUGCCAUUUAAAGCCUUAAUUUCUGCAAAAUCAACUUAAUGACUAUUAAUGUUCUGCAGAAACCCUGUUGUAUUUCUGCUACAGCAGCAGAGAUGAAGUUAAAGGUGAUAAAUAGAAUCUGUGAAUACUAAGAACAGAGAAUAAUAAACUGCUGAAAGAGUU